UACGUAGGGUGCAAGCGUUGUCCGGAAUUAUUGGGCGUAAAGAGCUCGUAGGCGGUGUGUCGCGCCGGCUGUGAAAACCUGGGGCUCAACCCUGGGCUUGCAGCUGAUACGGGCAGACUGGAGUUCGGCAGGGGAGACUGGAAUUCCUGGUGUAGCGGUGAAAUGCGCAGAUAUCAGGAGGAACACCGGUGGCGAAGGCGGGUCUCUGGGCCGAUACUGACGCUGAGGAGCGAAAGCGUGGGGAGCGAACAGG
rnacentral:rRNA from 1 species